AAAAAUUUAGUUUAACAAAAACAUUAAUUUGUCAAAUUAAAAAUAUUUUAUUAAAAAAAUAAUUUUUA
rnacentral:tRNA from 1 species